rnacentral:rRNA from 1 species
GCUAAUACCUCAUAAUGCAGCGGAUCGCAUGGAUAUGUUGUUAAAGGUUUACCGCCUUGGGAUAGGCUUGCGUCUGAUUAGUUAGUUGGUGUGGUAACGGCACACCAAGGCUACGAUCAGUAACUGGUCUGAGGGGAUGAUCAGUCACACUGGAACUGAGACACGGUCCAGACUCCUACGGGAGGCAGCAGUGAGGAAUAUUGGGCAAUGCUCGAAAGAGUGACCCAGCAACGCCGCGUGGAGGAUGAAGGUAUUCUAUAUCGUAAACUCCUGUGAGAGCAGACGAAAGACAGAUUAUUAAUCUGGAUGACUGUAUGCUCAGAGGAAGCCCCGGCUAACUACGUG